AGUGCCUUCUGAAAAUAUUCAGAACCUUUCAUUUUUUCCACAUUUUGUUCUGUUACAAGCUUAUGCUAAAAUUUAAUACAUGAAUCAGUGCUUCACAGGCUCAUUCAUAGUGAAACCAGUGCAUCCCAGGUGCAUCAGAAUGAAAUCAGUGCAUCACAGGCACAUCAGAAUGAAAUCAGUGCAUCCCAGGUGCAUCAGAAUUAAAUCAGUGCAUCACAGGCACAUCAGAAUGAAAUCAGUGCAUCACAGGUGCAUCAGAAUGAAAUCAGUGCAUCACAGGCACAUCAGAAUGAAAUCAGUGCAUCCCAGGCACAUCAGAAUGAAAUCAGUGUGCAUCCCAGGCGCAUCAGAAUGAAAUCAGUGCAUCACAGGCACAUCAGAAUGAAAUCAGUGCAUCACAGGCACAUCAGAAUGAAAUCAGUGCAUCCCAGGUGCAUCAGAAUGACAUCAGUGUGUCACAGGCACCUCAGUACAUGUACUAUUUGAGAACAGGAGUAUUUGCAGAGUUGCUAUUUAACAUAAGUGGAAGUCCUCCUAAGACUAGGUAUGCAAUCUUUUUGACAAAGUUGCCAAAAAUCUGACUAUUACUCAGUCAUGUCAAACAAAGGAACAACAUACAGCCUCUCAUCACCACCACAAGCACUUGAAGGACAAAAUGCUUACAUUUCAGAUCAUCAACUUUGACAACUUUGUCAUCAACACCAUCAAACACAGUGAAUGCAUGGUCAUGUUCACUGAAAUGAUCAGUAUGUGUCACGGCUUUCUUCGUCGGAGGACAAUAUGGCGAAAUCGUCGUCUGAAAAUGUGGACCAAUAUGCAGCAGAGUUGGUGUUCAUUUUCUUAAUUUAUUAACGAACGUUGAACACGAAAAAACAAGAAAACAAUAAGCACGACAAAUGACAGUUUUGCAGGCUAUACAUACGCAGUGCAAAAACAAUCUCCCACAAAUACAAGACAAACACACCCAACUAAUAUAGGACUUCCAAUCAAAGGCAACACCAAACAGCUGCCUUCAAUUGGAAGUCCACCCCAAUUAACUCAACAUAGAAACACACUCACUAGACUACACAUAGAAAUACAUAAACAUAGACCAUAACUCAAAACCUGGAAAUAAUAAAUCAAACACCCUCCUAACUAACACACCACCCUGAACCACAUAUUACAAAUACCCUUUGCCACGUCCUGACCAAACUACAAUAACAAUUAACCCUUAUACUGGCCAGGACGUGACAGUACCCCCUUAAAGGUGCUAACCCCGGAAGCACCUUAAAAAAAAAAAAAAAAAUAAAUAAAAUACAACCCCAAACAACAAAACAAAAAUUCCCCUCUACUAAAAGGGAGGGAAGGGAGGGUGGCUGCCGUCAACGACGGCACUGUGCUAACCCCCCCUCCCCAACCCACCUAUAUCAGGAGGUGGCUCCGGUUCUGGCCGUUCCAGGCAGUCGGGCCACUCUGGCAGCUCGGGGUAGUCUGGCAGCUCGGGGCAGUCUGACCAGUCUGGCAGCUCGGGGCAGUCUGGGCAGUCUGGCAGCUCGGGACAGUCUGGGCAGUCUGGCAGCUCGGGACAGUCUGGGCAGUCUGGCAGCUCGGGACAGUCUGGGCAGUCUGGCAGCUCGGGACAGUCUGGGCAGUCUGGCAGCUCGGGACAGUCUGGACAGUCUGGCAGCUCGGGACAGUCUGGCAGCUCGGGACAGUCUGGCAGCUCGGGACAGUCUGGCAGCUCGGGACAGUCUGGGCAGUCUGGCAGCUCGGGACAGUCUGGGCAGUCUGGCAGCUCGGGACAGUCUGGACAGUCUGGCAGCUCGGGACAGUCUGGCAGCUCGGGACAGUCUGGCAGCUCGGGACAGUCUAGCAG
rnacentral:lncRNA from 1 species